rnacentral:lncRNA from 1 species
CUGUCAUUUUGACAAAAUAAUCACAAAUAUACUACUGGUAUCUGAAAUACAGAGUGAGUAUGUACUUUAUGUAGUUUCACAAAAAAGUACACAUCAUCUGAUAUACCACCCUUUCCAGCUGGUUUUUGGAAAAUAAAUUAAUUCUAAUGAACCAUAAGUUAUUUUCUUUGCAAUAUAUUGUGAUUUUGUCCACUUUUUUCAAUGAUAACCUUCUUCUACAAAUUGCCUGAAACUGAACAGGCAAUUUGUAGAAUUUUGCUUCAAAAUUUCAGUCAUUUUACAAUAUGACUAGGUAUUUUUAGUCAUUUUGUAUAAUGCCUGUCAAGGUUAGGCAUUUUACAAAUUGCCUGAAUAUUCAGUCAUUUUACAAAAUGCCUAAAUUUAGAAAAUGCCUGUAACAUAUAUAUGUCUCUGGUAAAUUU